rnacentral:sRNA from 1 species
AGAUAAGUGUACACACCGAGUGAUCAAAAGGUGCGUUAUGGGAAUUUCCCCAUAUAUUGUGACCUUGAAAAUGUGCCCAAUUCCAGAAUCCUUGUGCAGGAGUUGUAAUGUGCAUGAUUUCUUGAUCAUCAACGUAAGUUCUGAAUAUAGAAAUGGAAUUUUAAAAAAUUGAAUGCAAAGGGAAUAUAGAUGUGAAUUUGGUUGCUGAAGACUUGGCGAACAUCACUAUGGACCUACAUGAUAUGAUGAUCUGUCCACUCGAGGGAGUAUGUAUGCCAAUCAUGCCAGUCUCUACCACUCGGCGCAUGUCUACAAGAAAUAUCACCGAAAGUUGAACAAGAACUAUCACUGGAACUUAAACCUGAACGAAAAGUUUAACUAAAACUUGAUCUUGAAUUAGAAAAGACAUAAAAGACAUAAUUUACCACUUUGUUUGAAUUCAUAAAUUUCACGAAACAAAAUGCUAACUAUGGAAGAUGGCAUGAUUUUAAGACGGAAUUUUUGAAUGCCGUACUUUCCUUUAUGAGUGAGGUAGUAUGCAUUAUGAGAUGCAUCAGGACCCCAGUGAAGAGUGGAAGCAACAUAACUAACUCCGUGAUCCGAGCCAUGUUCUACAGCCCUCAGGUUUCCUGUCAACGUAUUACGAAUUUGUCGGUCAACAAAAAUCACAUUUUGAGAGGGCAAAAGGUGCAAUAAAUAUCGAAUUUGCAAAGAAUUACGAACUCUUAUAAUGACUUAAGUUUAGUUUUAAAAUACACAUGUAUCAAAAGUUAAUCGCACAGAAUCGACUUCUUUCAAUAAAAUUAUAAAACACUGUU